rnacentral:rRNA from 1 species
AACCAGCACCUCAAGUGGUCAGGAUGAUUAUUGGGCCUAAAGCAUCCGUAGCCGGCUCUGUAAGUUUUCGGUUAAAUCUAUACGCUCAACGUAUGGGCUGCCGAAAAUACUGUAGAGAUAGGGAGUGGGAGAGGUAGACGGUACUCGGUAGGAAGGGGUAAAAUCCUUUGAUCUAUCGAUGACCACCUGUGGCGAAGGCGGUCUACCAGAACACGUUCGACGGUGAGGGAUGAAAGCUGGGGAGCGAGCCGG